rnacentral:tRNA from 1 species
AAGCCCAGGCACCUGCUGUGUGCUCCUUCGAUUUUGCAAUUUGACGUGCUUAUUCACCCCUUGGGCU